UUUUUAAAUUAACUGAAGGAAAUCCGAAGCUCGGGCGCAUUUGGAAUCACCCGAUUCAGUGGGAAAACAAGCAGCCAAAAAUGAAAAUCUUGGGAGUGUAGCUGUAUGUGUACGGUUACUGGUGUG